UCCGCCAGCCAUUUUUGAUCUCAUCCUAUUUUGUUCUUGAUUUAUCUGCGAAUAGACGUGUGUGAGUUUGGAGUUGCCAAUAGUUACAUUUUAAAGGCAAAGUUUAUUCGGACCUGUCUCGCCUUGACUGGGGUAUAAUCCAAAUUCGCAGAAAGAAAGUGUUCACAGUUGGUGCGAAAAUCUGAUAGUCAAAGCCAAAAGUCGCCAAAGGAGUGAUUUCGGGCACCGCCUUCGCCUUUGCGCCACGGGCAUUGAGUUUGCGGCUGGGCGAGGCUGUGUUUAUAUUGUUUCGAGAAUUUCUCCCCGGAAGGCCUUACAGACCUUUCGAGGCGAACGAAUUGUUUUAGAGGAACACCCUCUGUUGCCUCUGCGGGAAGGUUGCUCCGGAACUAACAAGGACCAACGAGAAGACCAAAUGGAGAUAUAAGUUUGUGCUGAGCAUCAAUGGUGUCGGAUGCCUCGUCGAGGGAUUCUUCAUGUGCUAGGGCGCGCGCAUUGCCAAUUGGGAGGAUGUGCCUCCGGCUCGGACCUACGCCGUCUCCAACGCCGCGGAAUAUUCAUCACGCUUCGUCGCCGAUCUUCAGCCUCGGCUCACGGCCCUACUCCCUUUGCCUGCAAGCCACGUACCGCACAGCCGUUUGACAUAACCUCACACUUCGUUCGCCAGACGUAACGAUCGCUGUUGGCUGAUGGUCCUCUAGACGCUUAGUGUCGUCAAAUUGUGCUUUUGAAUCGAGUCUGAAUUAGAAGUGAACUCUUGCUAAACUUAAUUCGGCUGAAAAGCCAUUUCUAACUAGCCUGUAAACCCUCUUGUUAAGCUUAGCCUUAAAUGUUUUCUUAGCUGGCGGAUAAUUUAAAGGGAGCCAAUUGCUAGAAUAGGCAGAAUUGGAACUAAGCGCGUGCUGUCGCUUUUGAGAGAGCGUGGAAAAAAAUGCAGUGAGUCACCAACCCAAGUUUAAGAAUUUCCUUUCGCUUUUCUCAAGAGAUUGAUAUAAAAUAUUAAGUAACGCUUGCUUCUAUUGCCUACUAAAAUUAAGAUAAUUGGAUGAUUUUUUUGUUUUUUUUUUUUGACGCUAGCGCCCGUACUUUGAAACCGAAUUUACCAAAAGAAUAGAGGUAAAUUUUAGAUACUAUUAUUAUAAGUUUAGAUCAGGCCGUGGUCAUUGAUUGAGGCCGACGUGCACGUGAAGCCAUCUUUGAAUUUGUACAUUAAGAAAUUAGAAAUAUUCGGAAGAAGUUAAAGUCAAUUAAGUUGAAUUUGUAUAGAACUAUUAAGAAAGAAAACAAUUUUACUAUCGUUAAAUAUUAUGGCUAUGGGAUGUAGUAUUAUCUCGUCGUUUUCUAUUACUAAACUUAGUGCUGAACUAAACACCGGGCGGAAUUAAUGAAUACCAAUAAAACUAUUUCUAAGCUUGAA